ensembl:lncRNA
CCUUGGUACUGUUAUAGCGAUGAAGCUACAGACGUCAUUGCCUCCUGUUGGACGCGAGAUGUGUCCAAGCAUCAUCUCCCUGCUUAAAGGAAAACUCUCUAACUUCCAGGCAGCCAGCAAGAGAGUCUUUUCGGAGAACACAUGCACCCCCAAAAUAUUUAGCACACACAUACACACGCACACAGAGAAAGAUGCAGGUUCUAUAUAUAGUUUGUGUGAAUUCAAAGUUACUGUCGUUGGGAAGAUGAACUGAAAUUUCCUGAUCAUCAACGGUGUGUCUGUACUGCUUUAUUAAAUGCAUCCAGAAGGAAAAGAGAAAAGACUCAAUCAUUAAGCAUCCUCUUUAGGGUUUCCUCCCUCCCACCUCUGAAGGAUGAUCGGCGUGGAAACCUACUUUAAAACCUGGAAGAUGCCUUCUGAAUGAAUGGAACAGCUCGGAGGACUCUUGGAAGGAAAGAUUCUGAACUUGGGCCACUUGGUCUCCUCUUUGCAAUAUGCCUUUUGCACUUCUCUAUCGAACAGAAGAACGACUCGCCUCUCUUCCUCUUUCUCUCUUUUUAAUCCCUCCCUCUCUUUUUUAUGUAAGAACUUGAUUUGAAGCAGGAAACAGAAAUGAGCUUUGGCAUACUUUGGCGGAGUGGGGGAGGGGACGGGGGGAAAGAAACCCAAACUCCCAGCACCGGCCAGAGAUGUCGAAGAAACGCAAAACCUUGGAGGGUGGUAGUGGUGGAGGAGGAGGAUCCCCGCUCCCAUCCGAGGAACCUACAGCCUUGUUUGGGGGCAGCAUCGAGGAGCAAGUGGGUGGAGACCAUGUGCAGAUGGGUCGACUUUGGAGGAAAAGGAGGAAAUUUAUACAGAUUUGCCCCCCUUGCAAUUGGUUGGAAAAACUUGGUGCAAAAAAUGAGUGUUGGCCAUAACUUUGCUUUGCUCUGUGUCUCACUGUUCUUUAUUACUCUGAAGCUAAAUCAAACCUUAGAGUAUAGUACAGAAUCUGUAAUAUGUAGGGAAGAUGAACAUGUCAAUGAGUGUUCAAAGGGAAGCUGCUUGAAAGGGUACUAUAGAAAGAUAUUUACUCUUCUUUUGUUCUUUUGUUGAAAGAGAAAGGGAUUCACCCAUUUCACUUCCUUUUUAAAUUUUUUUUCCUCCGGAAGCUUGAAUUUAUGGAAAUUCUUAGUUAUUUUAAGGUUAUAUACAACAUUGAACUGUACCAUAUGCAGUCUUUCUUAGCAAGAGCCCCUUCCUUUCCUUCCAAUUUUUUUUGUCACAAAUUGCUUAAGUUUGAUUGUACAACCCCCACCCUCACAUGAUCAAUGACCAUCAUACCCCCUGCAGCCUUUAAGAUCAUUGUCCAUGAGACAAACUGUUAGUAAUUUUAAUUCCUAUAUUCAUUUCAUUGAUUUUUAAAAUAAGCUUUGUCAAUUUUUAUGGGAUCAUAUAACCAGGUCUAUUUUCCUGGUUUCUGUGCCUUCUUAGUCCUAUUAUAGCCACAUGUCCUAUGGAGCCAGGGGAGUUUUGAGACCCAUGAAACUUUGGAAAGAACCCAGAACUAGGAAACAGAAGACCACAGCUUAAGUAUUAGCCCCUGAGCUCACUAGCUAGAUAAUCUUGAGCAAAUCUUUCAGCCUCUUUAUCCUCAUCAUUAAAACAGAGAGAAUAAUUUCAUCCCCUCACUAGGUGGAUGUGAUAAUAAUGCAAUAACGUGUAAAACAUUUUGUUGUAGCAAAGCCAUGGAAACAAAGUAAAUGCCAUCGACUGGGGCAUUGAUAAACAUGCUGUGGUAAAUGAAGGUAAUUGAAUGUUACUGGGCCAUAAGAAAUGAUGCAUAUGAUGAACACAGAGAAGCAUCAGAAGACGGAUCAACUGAUGCAAAGCAAAGUCAGCAGAGACAGAAAAACAGAAAAAUGCAAUGACUACACAAAUACAAAUGGAAAGAACAAGAACAACAAAACAAUAGAAACCGAAUGCUGUGAAAUGAUAAUAACCAAGCUUGUUCCUAAGGGAAAAGCUGAAGAAUAUACCUCCCUUUUUUCUUUGAGGAGGUCAAGUAGAUGAAACAUGAUAUAAUAUCAUACUUGGUUGAUGUUUUGCUGAACUAUGCCUUUUUUCUCUUUUAUUUUUGUCAUAGGAAAUAGCUCUCUGGAAGGGACAGUAGGGAAGAGUAUAUUUGCAAAUUUAUAUGACAUAAAAAACAAAAUUGUCAAUAAAAAAUUAUAUAUGUGAAAGCA